AAAGAAAUGUGCAGCUGCAGAUUUUGGAGUUUCUGGGCUGUGGAGGGACUGGCAGUGUGAUGUAAAGAAAGCCUUCAUCUGCCACCAUGACCCGGUGCCGUUUUCAAACUUCACUAUGAAGGUGAAGCUGGUGAGUCCUUCUGCUCUGGACCUGAACGACCCUGCAGCUCUGGAUGAUUUGCUGAACAAGCUGAAGCAGAGGCUGAAGGACCAGGGAGUGACAGCCGACAUCACACUGAAGUGGAGCCAGCAGCCGAAUGGAAACAUCUUCUUUAAAGAAAAGGACCAGAAAUAAGGAGAGACUGAUGUGAAACUCCUGUGUUCUGAAAGUUUAACUUGUGAAGUUUUAGUUUUAACACAACUUUAGUUUGAAGAUUUUAUUACAAAACCAAAGAUUAGUUUAAAUAAUUUAGGAACAGAAAAAAAAUCCAGUUCAGUUUGUGUUUGAGGACAAAAACUACCAAAUUAAAUUCUAGCAAAAACCUAUGAUACUAUUUACAUAUAUAUUUAUUUUUGGUUUAGUUAAAUAUAUGAGUGAGUUUUAAACCAUUUGUUUAGUUUUGUAGAAUUAGAGGAACAGGGUUUUAUGAACCUUAGUGAAGUGUUAUAAGUAUGAAAUAUGUUCUGUCUGUAAAACUCAGUAGAUCCAGAGAUGCAGGUCAUUUUAUUUCAUCUGC